GAAAUGCGAUAAGUAAUGUGAAUUGCAGAAUUCCGUGAAUCAUCAAAUCUUUGAACGCACAUUGCGCUUUCUGGUAUUCCGGAAAGCAUAUCUGUUUGAGAAUCAGUUUAAAUCUCAAGAAAUUCGUUUCUUGGAAUUGGAAAGCUUUUUUUUGGUUUACCAAAGAAACUUCCUUAAAAACAGCUUGAGAUGUUGAGUAAAACAAUUAUUUAACCGAAAGCAGGAUUUGCUGAGGUUUUUACCUCUUUUAUAUCUGUAGCUGAUAACGUUGAAUAAUUUUGAUUUACUCUUUAUACACUUCAAACAAUUGAUUUACGAAAAGGUGUUAAAACCACCUCUUUAAGACUUGAUCUCAAAUCAGAUAAGACUACCCGCUGAACUUAA
rnacentral:misc_RNA from 1 species